GAUGAACGCUGGCGGCGUGCCUAAUACAUGCAAGUCGAGCGAACAGACGAGGAGCUUGCUCCUCUGACGUUAGCGGCGGACGGGUGAUUAACACGUGGAUAACCUACCUAUAAGACUGGGAUAACUUCGGGAAACCGGAGCUAAUACCGGAUAAUAUAUUGAACCGCAUGGUUCAAUAGUGAAAGACGGUUUUGCUGUCACUUAUAGAUGGAUCCGCGCCGCAUUAGCGAGUUGGUAAGGUAACGGCUUACCAAGGCAACGAUGCGGAGCCGACCUGAGAGGGUGAUCACCCAAACUGGAACUGAGACACGGUCCAGACCCCUACGGGAAGCAGCCGUAGGGAAUCUUCCGAAAUGGGCGAAAGCCUGACGGAGCAACGCCGCGUGAGUGAUGAAGGUCUUCGGAUCGUAAAACUCUGUUAUUAGGGAAGAACAAAUGUGUAAGUAACUAUGCACGUCUUGACGGUACCUAAUCAGAAAGCCACGGCUAACUACGUG
rnacentral:rRNA from 1 species